rnacentral:lncRNA from 1 species
UUCUUCAUCUCUAUAAGUACUCUUUGAUAAAAGUAAACGCAUUCUCAUGCACCCUUACAAACCCUAACAUUAUAGUUACAUUCUUUACAUGCCUGUUCACUCCUAAGAAGUCGAUGCUUAUUCUCAUGCUAGUUCCUUAAACACGAUUGACAGUGUCAGUUUUAUAGAAAUCAUUAUUCCAAUAUCCUUGAAGAUAUUCGGUUGAAGCCAAGUACCCACUCAGAACCCAUUCUGGCAUUUGUUUCUUUAAUUCUCUCCUCUAUUGGCAAAGCGUUCAUGUUGACAGUGAAGAAAUUCUUCUUCUUUUUUUUUACUUUGGAAAUACUAAUGAAGCCAUAACUCAUGAUAACCAGACCUCACGAAGAAGUUCAUACCUAGCGUUGACCGCGAUACAGGUGGUUUGGUCCAUAUGUUGGCCAUUUCCAUUUCUUGCAAGAUUUAAAGAUAGAUACGGUUGUUUAUCGAUGAUAUAACCAAGCGGUGAAUCGAGUUGUUCUAGCUCCUCAUCGCUUGUAUACCCUUUUCUUUGAAUAACAGAUGAGUUUCUAUUCAACUGGGAUUGUUUUGCACCAGCUUCGGAUGCUUUUUGAGAAACAUCAAUGGAGGAAGGAGGUUUGUAUAUGACUGGAGCAGCUGGGUAAGGGAAGCUGCUUAAAUUGUCCCCCGAUAAGCUGCGCUCUAUCAUUGCCUGCAUGGCCCGAGUCAAACGAUUAGUAAAACAGGUAACUUUUUGUAUGGAGAACACGUUUUAUCCAUAUUUAAAAAAAACUGUGACUGCAAAACACACGGAGAGUUGUGUGACGGAUCGGUUUAGGUCAAAAUGAGUAACAACUUUAAGGACAUGCCAAAAGAAGCGAGACAGGGUUAGGUGACGCACCGACACUUUUAGAAUUUUAUAAAUAAUUAGAUUGUUAAAACACAGUUAUGAAAACGGAGUUUAUAAAUAAUUAGAUUGUUAAAACACAAUUAUGAAAACGGAGUAAAUAUACCUUUAAAAAGAAAACUAUUUAUGGGAGUUUAAGCGUUUGAAUAAACUUCUAACGACUUUUGACAUGUUUACAACUUUUUUUUGAACAGCAAAGGUUACAUAACACUACUACUAAAUUACACCAAAUUUUACCACAUGCCAGGAAUUGAACCCUGGUCACUCCCCAAGAGACAAAGCCUCUACCACCCCACCAAAGUGGUGAUGGCAUUCAUCUACAACUAGUUUAGAGAACUUUACCGAUGUUAACUGUCAUUAAAAUCCAACCAGAACUGACACAAAAAAUCGGUUUAAACUGACACCUAAAUUAUAUUAAAAAAAAAACACUUUGAACAACUUUCAACUCAUUUGGCAUGUUACCUUUAACCAAUUUUUCUCUUUUUAUUUAUAUUUUAUUUUUACAUGUUAAAGAUAAAGCAUGAUAUGAAUUUGUUUAUAUAAAAUACUUGUCAACAAUAAAAGUAAACUAAAGUUAUACCUCAGCAUUUACUGCCUCCAAUACCGCACCAGGAACUGAAUCUGGACAAAAUUCAUCCGGCGUGAAGUUGCAGAGGAUUCGUUUAAGUAACGGAAGGCUGAUUGACGGGCAUACCUAU